UGUUCUUCCCCCGCGGAGAUAAGCAUAUCAAUAAGCGGAGGAAAAGAAACCAACAGGGAUUGCCCUAGUAACGGCGAGUGAAGCGGCAACAGCUCAGAUUUGAAAUCUGGCGCCUUUGGCGUCCGAGUUGUAAUCUGUAGAGGAUGCUUUUGGGUAGCCACCGGUCUAAGUCCCCUGGAACGGGGCGUCACAGAGGGUGAGAAUCCCGUAUGUGACCGGAAGGGCGCCCUCUACAUAGCUCCUUCGACGAGUCGAGUUGUUUGGGAAUGCAGCUCUAAAUGGGAGGUAAAUUCCUUCUAAAGCUAAAUACCGGCCAGAGACCGAUAGCGCACAAGUAGAGUGAUCGAAAGAUGAAAAGCACUUUGGAAAGAGAGUUAAAAAGCACGUGAAAUUGUUGAAAGGGAAGCGCUUGCAACCAGACUUGUUGGCGGUGUUCCGCCGGUCUUCUGACCGGUUUACUCACCGUCUGCAGGCCAGCAUCAUCUGGGGCCGCUGGAUAAAAGCGAGGGGAAUGUGGCUCCCCCGGGAGUGUUAUAGCCCCUCGUGCAAUACAGCGAGCCUCGGGUGAGGUCCGCGCUUCGGCUAGGAUGCUGGCGUAAUGGUCGUAAGCGGCCCGUCUUGAAACACGGACCAAGGAGUCUAACAUCUAUGCGAGUGUUCGGGUGUCAAACCCCUACGCGUAAUGAAAGUGAACGGAGGUGGGAGCCUUAGGGUGCACCAUCGACCGAUCCUGAUGUCUUCGGAUGGAUUUGAGUAAGAGCAUAGCUGUUGGGACCCGAAAGAUGGUGAACUAUGCCUGGAUAGGGUGAAGCCAGAGGAAACUCUGGUGGAGGCUCGCAGCGGUUCUGACGUGCAAAUCGAUCGUCAAAUUUGGGUAUAGGGGCGAAAGACUAAUCGAACCAUCUAGU
rnacentral:rRNA from 1 species